rnacentral:rRNA from 1 species
AUUGAACGCUGGCGGCAGGCCUAACACAUGCAAGUCGAGCGGCAGCGGGAAAGUAGCUUGCUACUUUUGCCGGCGAGCGGCGGACGGGUGAGUAAUGCCUGGGAAAUUGCCCAGUCGAGGGGGAUAACAGUUGGAAACGACUGCUAAUACCGCAUACGCCCUACGGGGGAAAGCAGGGGACCUUCGGGCCUUGCGCGAUUGGAUAUGCCCAGGUGGGAUUAGCUAGUUGGUGAGGUAAUGGCUCACCAAGGCGACGAUCCCUAGCUGGUCUGGGAGGAUGAUCAGCCACACUGGAACUGAGGAACGGUCCAGGCUCCUACGGGAGGCAGCAGUGGGGAAUAUUGCACAAUGGGGGAAACCCUGAUGCAGCCAUGCCGCGUGUGUGAAGAAGGCCUUCGGGUUGUAAAGCACUUUCAGCGAGGAGGAAAGGUUGAUGCCUAAUACGUAUCAACUGUGACGUUACUCGCAGAAGAAGCACCGGCUAACUCCGUGCCAGCCGCCGCCGUAA